rnacentral:rRNA from 1 species
GAUGAACGCUGGUGGCGUGCCUAAUACAUGCAAGUCGAGCGAACAGACGAGGCGCUUGCUCCUCUGACGUUAGCGGCGGACGGGUGAGUAACACGUGGAUAACCUACCUAUAAGACUGGGAUAACUUCGGGAAACCGGAGCUAAUACCGGAUAAUAUAUUGAACCGCAUGGUUCAAUAGUGAAAGACGGUUUUGCUGUCACUUAUAGAUGGAUCCGAGCCGCAUUAGCUAGUUGGUAAGGUAACGGCUUACCAAGGCAACGAUGCGUAGCCGAGCUGAGAGGGGGGUCGGCCACACUGGAACUGAGACACGGUCCAGACUCCUACGGGAGGCAGCAGUAGGGAAUCUUCCGCAAUGGGCGAAAGCCUGACGGAGCAGCGCCGCGUGAGUGAUGAAGGUCUUCGGAUCGUAAAACUCUGUUAUUAGGGAAGAACAAAUGUGUAAGUAACUAUGCACGUCUUGACGGUACCUAAUCAGAAAGCCACGGCUAACUACGUG